GUUCGAUUAGCUUAGUGGUUAGAGCAUCUCGUUUACACCGAGAAGGUCACGCGUUCAACUCGCGUAUUGAACA
rfam:Bathycoccus prasinos genomic : Chromosome_4.